UGGGCAAAGCAUCCGAGGCAAAUGAUCAUCUUUUGUCCAGAUUUAUUUAAAUUCAAGAUGGAAAAAUUGGAUCGAGUCAUUCGUUUGAUGUGGCUGCCUCAACAAAAGGCGUCUCCGCGUUCCUUAAUGGCAAUAAGUUGUCUGGGGAAAAUUUUAACAUUGAUUUGCAUAUUAAGAAUCAUGACAGUGAUUCGGGCCAGCCAAUUAAGGUGGUCUACGAGGCCUGCGGUGAACGUUGGGAGGUGACCUGUUGCCCCUCGGAUCGCGGCUUCCAGCUGGUUUCGUUUGUCAACUCGAUUGCCACCUACAAGGGUGGACGAUGGUGUUAUCAAGCAGUUAAUUAAAGUUCUCAAAAAGAAAAGUAAAGGUGGCAUUAACAUCAAGCCCUUCUAAGUGCGCAAUCAUCUCUGGAUCUUUGUCAAUUGUCUCAUCGAUCCCCUUUGAUUCUCAGACCAGGAACAUGACUUUGCAUGCGAAAAGCAUAGUUGAAUCUCCAUUGGCUUGGGCUAAAUUAGCCAAAAUAGACGAUAACGAAAGCUCCAUACCCAGUCUAGUGGAUGGCCUAAAGCCUGGCUAGCGCAAAAAGAUUUAUCUUGUAGGUUUGCUUCCAAACGACCAGAGGGAAUUCAGUGCUUUUAAUGUAAUCGCCCGGUGGAUAGUCGACGGCGAGGAGGAUGCGCUUGAUGGGCACGAGCAUGCCAAUGAUACCAAUGUGGAGUCCGAAGAAGAUGCUGUCACUGAGGAAGCUGCCUACGUGACUAUCAAUGCCUUUAACAGCAAGGAUAACACAUUUGCCAUCACAGAGAAACUGGUGUUGCAUUUACUUUGGAUGCACUUUGCAACAAUUGAAUGUACAGGAUGUGGAAUUUAAACUGCAGAUUCUUGAUAAUACCAUGCGAAAGUCACCGAACGCCAUCACUGUUGCUUCUAGGUUUCACCGCUGUGAAAUGCUCUUAUUUGUCGAAAACCUCCAAGCCAGCCAUUGAUCUGGUAGUCUACACAAGUCCACUUUUUAGUAUCGGCUCCAAAUGAAACCAGAGAAUAUGCCUUGCGUGAGGCAAUUUUUGAACAGAUUUCGCCAAUGACAACAUCAAAAACACGUUAAAGGCCUUUUUGGAACAGAGGAGGCUUAGUAUGCAUUGUGGACAAACAAAAAAAUCUUAUUAUGCCAUGUGCCACGUGUCUUCAAAAAAAAAAAAAAAAAAAAAGCCAAAUUAACCAACCAUUUAAUCAAUUGAUAAAUCGCGAUGAUGCGCGAUUUAUUGUUGAGAAAUACGAUACAUUUUUUGUGGAGAACAAAGAGGAGCUCAACCGAGGAGAUCAUUAAAAAAAUGCAAGCCGCGGCGAAAGCAACUCUCAGAGCCCAAGGAACCUAAAAUUAAGGAUACAGCACCAAAGGGCAAACCCGAAUCCGAGGAAAUGCACGAAUUUCAUGCUCUCGGCGAAGGUGGGGCAGAAAUGGGGCAAGAGGUGGGGGCAAGAAACCACCGAAAGCAGUAGAACGGCGAUGGUACAAAGCAGUCGAAAGAAUGUCCUUUCACUUGUAGCUGAUCUCUAAUGCCAAUUCUCAGAGCCAGCGCGACGAUCCACCGACAGCAACAACAACAAUAACAAACCACUACAUACAUAUACUAAUUGUUUUAAAUUGUUUCAUAAACAUAGUAUGUAGUUUUCAUAAAUAAAAAUCUUUUUAUGUUAA